rnacentral:sRNA from 8 species
GAAGAUUCGAACCUGCCGCAGGUUCGGGUCUCACGUAGUGAGACAACGGAGCCGCUUGCGGCGACGGCCCGAAGGGCGAGCGAAGCGAGUCAUCCUGCACGACCCACCA